rnacentral:pre_miRNA from 1 species
UGAGGUAGUAGGUUGUGUGGUUUCAGGGUAGUGAUUUUACCCCAAUCAGGAGAUAACUAUACAACCUACUGCCUUCC